rnacentral:rRNA from 1 species
AUGAUCUGAAGUCAAGUGGGAUUACCCGCUGAACUUAAGCAUAUCAAUAAGCGGAGGA